rnacentral:misc_RNA from 1 species
GACGAACCACCCAAACGUUAUUCGGAAUUACUGGGCUUAAAGGGUGCGUAGGCGGCGCGGAAAGUCAGGUGUGAAAUCCCUCGGCUCAACCGAGGAACUGCGCUUGAAACUACCGUGCUCGAGUGAGACAGGGGUGAGCGGAACUUCGGGUGGAGCGGUGAAAUGCGUUGAUAUCCGAAGGAACACCGGUGGCGAAAGCGGCUCACUGGGUCUUUUCUGACGCUGAUGCACGAAAGCGUGGGGAGCAAACAGG